ACAAGAGACAAAUUCCAGAAUGCACCAAGACCGCGAUGCGCAGAGACCAAGGGGGUGUUGGGGCCGUGCACAGGGCACUCUGUGUGUCUUUUGGGGGGAGUGUCUGUGUUUCUGUAUGUGUGCCAGGAGCUUUUCAGCAUCCUUUUGCAUGGGAGGAUUUGGUCAUUCAUUGAGCAUUUUUUGCGUCCCUACUAUGUGCUGGACACAGUGCAAGACAGAACCACAUCAAACCCAGCCACAGCGCAGCACAGACCUGGUGUGGAAGCCCCACUCCCACCUCUGCCCCCAACCACAAGCUCAUGGCUAUGGAACAAGGCAAGAGCCUUCCAUCUGCCACGGAGAAUGCAAAGGAAGAGGGUCUGGAAGCCCAGAUCAGCCGCUUGGCAGAGCUGAUUGGGAGGCUGGAGAGCAAAGCACUGUGGUUCGACCUGCAGCAGCGCCUGUCAGAUGAAGAUGGCACCAACAUGCAUCUGCAGCUGGUCCGGCAGGAGAUGGCCGUGUGCCCCGAGCAACUGAGCGAGUUUCUGGACUCUCUGCGCCAGUAUCUGCAGGGGACCACUG
rnacentral:sRNA from 1 species